rnacentral:rRNA from 1 species
CCCCAGACUCCUACGGGAGGCAGCAGUGAGGAAUAUUGGUCAAUGGGCGCGAGCCUGAACCAGCCAAGUAGCGUGAAGGAUGACUGCCCUACGGGUUGUAAACUUCUUUUAUAAAGGAAUAAAGUGAGGCACGUGUGCCUUUUUGUAUGUACUUUAUGAAUAAGGAUCGGCUAACUCCGUGCCAGCAGCCGCGGUAAUACGGAGGAUCCGAGCGUUAUCCGGAUUUAUUGGGUUUAAAGGGAGCGUAGAUGGGUUGUUAAGUCAGUUGUGAAAGUUUGCGGCUCAACCGUAAAAUUGCCGUUGAAACUGGUUGACUUGAGUAUAUUUGAGGUAGGCGGAAUGCGUGGUGUAGCGGUGAAAUGCAUAGAUAUCACGCAGAACUCCGAUUGCGAAGGCAGCUUACUAAACUAUAACUGACACUGAAGCACGAAAGCGUGGGGAUCAAACAGGAUUAGAUACCCGCGUA